rnacentral:rRNA from 1 species
UACGUAGGGACCGAGCGUUGUCCGGAAUCAUUGGGCGUAAAGCGUACCGAUAGGUGGUUUUGCAAGUCAGAUGUGAAAUUCCAAGGCUCAACUUUGGGACUGUCGUUUGAAACUGCACAACUAGAGGGGCAAAGAGGAAGCUGGAACGAACGGUGUAGUAGUGAAAUGCGUUGAUAUCGUUCGGAACACCGAUAGCGAAGGCAGGCUUCUGGGUGCCACCUGACACUUCUAGGACGAAAGCGUGGGGAGCGAAUGGG